rnacentral:tRNA from 1 species
AGCCCUGUAGUGUACAUACACAUUAAAAUGCAAAUUUAAAGACGAGCCCCAACGGGCUCCGGGGCUU